CCAGUCUGAGAGAUGCCAGCAAAGGCUUCCUAGGCCAGUUCAGUCCAGUAAAUCCCUCUUCGAUCUUCUCUUCCACACAGACAGCAGUGAUGAGCAUGCCCAUGAACUCACAUGAUUAUUUUGGGGAAAAUGAAAGAGUUGUAUUCUUUUUGAGGUAGUAAUUCCACUUUCAGGGGCAAAUACAUUUUGAUUAUUUUAUCACCCUUCAGUGAGUUGUUUUUGUUCUUUAAUCAAGGAUGUAUGUUUGAAGUAAGAAGUAAAGCAUAAAGUAUACGAUUUUGUGUGUGUGUGUGUUUUUAUCUUGCUAUACCUGUAGGGAAUAUUUAAUUCUGCCUUGGAAGUGGCCAAAUUUGAAGGUGCUGUGAUUUGAACUGUCAGUGGGAUAAGGGGGCAGAUCAAGAAAGCACUCUGUGCUCCAGAAGGAGCUUUCCGGGCCAGCUUUGAGGAUAAGCUGCUGAUGAGCGAUAUUGUCUUCAUGCGAACUUGGUAUCCUGUUUCCAUCCCAGCCUUCUAUAACCCAGUAACAUCUUUGUUGAAACCAGUGGGUGAGAAAGACACCUGGUCAGGAAUGUGGACCACGGGCCAACUCAGGCUCGCCUAUGGUGUCAGACUAAAGGCAAAUAAGGACUCUCUGUAUAAGCCAAUCCUGAGGCAAAAGAAACAUUUUAAUUCACUGCACAUUCCAAAAGCCUUGCAGAAGGCCCUGCCAUUUAAGAACAAGCCCAAGGCCAGGCGCGGUGGCUCACGCCUGUAAUCCCAGCACUUUGGGAGGCUGAGGCGGGCGGAUCACGAGGUCAGGAGAUCGAGACCAUCCUGGCUAACAUGGUGAAACCCUGUCUCUACUAAAAGUACAAAAAAUUAGCCAGGUGUUGUGGUGGGCGCCUGUAGUCCCAGCUACUUGGGAGGCCGAGGCAGGAAAAUGGCGUGAACCUGGGAGGCAGAGCUUGCAGUGAACUGAGAUCGGGCCACUGCACUCCAGCCUGUGCGACAGUGCGAAACUCUGUCUCAAAAAAAAAGAAAAAAGAAAAAAUAAAAAACAAACCCAAGACCCAAGCAAAGGACAGGCGGAGACUGGCCGUCAUGCGUGAGCCUCAUGAAAGAAAGAUCCUCACACUGCUGGAUGCUCUGAGUAUGGUGCACAGUCAGAAGAUGAAGAAGGCCAAGGAGCAGCGGCACCUGCACAAUAAAGAGCACUUCAGAGCCAAGCAGAAGGAGGAGGAGGAGAAGCUGAAGUGGCAGAAGGACCUCAGGAAGAAGCUCUUCCAAAUUCAGGGGCAGAAGGAAAGAAGAAACCAGAAGUCCAGUUUGAAGGGGGCUGAGGGCCAGUUUCAGUGAGCCUUUGGACUGGAGGGACUGUCCCUGGAUCUGCAGAGGUGGACAGUUUCAAACAUCACAGUUUGAAUGCCUGUGAAUGACAAGUCAGUGGGCAAGAACUCAAGAGAUGUCUCUACACAAACUGUGCCUGCAAGAGGAACAGAGAAGCCUGGACUACUUGGACCGGGUUCAUUCUCAUCACUUGGGGCUGUCGAGAUUUAAAGUGAUGUAA
rnacentral:lncRNA from 1 species